GUCGAGGAGUGAACAUCUCUCUGACUAAACCAAUAUGGAAGCUUUCGAACGACAAGAGUGUCAGGCUGCGAUACUUUGUGAAAAGAAACAGCAUGUUAUUGCUGUAUUGUUGCGAUCAUCAUUAUGACUUGUGUUUUACUAUAUCAAGUUUACCUUUUUUAAUUUAAAUUGCAUGGGACGUGCUGUCAUUUUAGCUUUAUAAAUAAUCCGUCUGAGAAAAGGAAUUGUGUUUAAUUUUAUAUUCCCAAUAGCGAGGCUUUUCUUUCUAAGUUGGAUGGCGUUAAAUCUCCGUGUAUCAUCAACGUGAAAACAAGCGCAGUAUUUAAGGUUGGUAUACUACAAUGCAUUACAGUUAUCGUGUUAUUUUAUAGUCAAAUUUCCGCUUUGUUGUUUUUAUUCUUGUACUGUAAUUUUAUAAAUACACUGUACAAAAUUAUGGUGUCAUACUUGUGUUUAUAAUGCCUCUAAUUUGACCCUAUUGUGUGUGUAUAUGUACUGUGUCACUGUGACACAUAUGUACAUGUUUUGAGUUAAACGAAUUGUUUAAUAAAUUUUUGCUGAAGUAUGAUACCUGUUUGUAUGGAUAGAUUUUUACAUAUAUGUGCACUGUGUAUAGUUUAUACAUUGGUUCUCAGAUGAGUCUGAAGGUAUAUUGUUAUUCAGUUAUUUGUAUGUAUUGUUUUAUACAUUUUGCUGAGUAUGAUGCCUGUUUGUAUCUAGUUGUGGAUGGUUGUGAGAAUAUAAUUUUAGAGGUUACAUGUUUUUUAAUUUUAGAGAUGAUAAUGUAUCAAAUAAUAAUUUUCUUGUUAUGAUUUUAUAGAAAGAGAUUUACUUGAGUGGUUGGUUGGUCUUGAGCCUGUUCAGGAUGGAUAUGAUAAUGAAAGAGGUGAUCAAGGUGAUAGGGCAGAAAGUGAUGACGUUUAAGUGAGAAGAUGAAAGUGAUGAGGAAGAAAUCGCCCACGCUGUAGCAUUCAAGUGCAUCGGUGAUGCUUGUGAGAAAAACUACCAACAUCAUUUGGAAAAUUAAAUUAAGACAUAAUACCUCACUCUUCGUGAACACGAUAAAACAGUGAAUGUAAGAAUAUGGCCAGCACCAUUGAAUCCAAGGGACCCAAGUGCAAUAGGCAAUUCCAGCUUUUAGUUUAUUUUAUUAAAAUUUUUCAGCAUAAUCAGCAAUAUGAUACCUUACUUCCUAUUGCCCCCUGCACACAUAAAUUAAAAGCUGGAAUUGCCUAUCAACUAGACUAUGGAACUGGAUGACAACAUGUUGGUUAUAUUGCUUUUCAACUAUGCAAGUAUUUGCACCCACUAAUUGCUGCAGAUGUCGUGGAUGUCUAUGUUCAGUGUAUCAAGUAUAGGGUUGACUUUUUUAAUUAAAAAGGGUGAGUGGAGACUCAAGUGGUAGGAAAAAGCAUGAGUGUAUGUUGACAUAUGUUUUUAUAUAAUAAAUAGCAAUUAGCUAUGUUUAGCAAGUUAUUAGUGCAUUUAUUUCAAUUGGCUAACUUUUUGGUUUUUUCCAGCAUUUUUAAACAAACCAUAUGUUAUAAAUGAUAUAACUGGGUAUAUCUAAUUAAAACAAUCUGUCAUGUACACUCAUGCAAAUAAGACUAAGUACAUAAAUAACAACCUUGUACCCAGGGGAGAAAAGACUCUGGUAGAUGCUGGUCACAUGAUCUGCUAAAAUGUAGCAGAUUUCUAAUUAGGAAUCCAAGAUGAGGUCAAAAAAUAUUUGAUAUUUGGAUGAUUUUUAUAUGUUAAUUUAUAAUUUGCAUUUUGUAUAUGAUUGUCAUAAAGGAAUUCAAGAUAAUUAAUUAGAAAUCUGCUAGAUUUUAGCAGAUCACGUGACCAGCAUCUACCGGGGUCUUUUCUCCCCAAGAGGAAGGACUCUGGGUACGAGGUUGCAUAAAUAACUGUAAAAAUGUACUUUAGUAAAUGAAUAAUUUAUCCAUACACUUGAUCUACUUUGUGAGUAUUCUUUCCAAUUAAAAUUGAUGCAACAAUAAAACAA